rnacentral:rRNA from 2 species
ACGUUGAUAGGCUGGGUGUGUAAGUGCAGCGAUGCAUUGAGCUAACCAGUACUAAUGACCCGAGAGGCUUAACCUU